rnacentral:rRNA from 1 species
CCUACGGGAGGCAGCAGUGGGGAAUAUUGGGCAAUGGGCGCAAGCCUGACCCAGCAAUGCCGCGUGAAGGAAGAAGGCUUUCGGGUUGUAAACUUCUUUGACAGGGGAAGAGCAGAAGACGGUACCCUGAAAACAAGCCACGGCUAACUACGUGCCAGCAGCCGCGGUAAUACGUAGGUGGCAAGCGUUGUCCGGAUUUACUGGGUGUAAAGGGCGUGUAGGCGGGAAGGCAAGUCAGAUGUGAAAUCUGGAGGCUCAACCUCCAAAUUGCAUUUGAAACUGUUGUUCUUGAGUACUGGAGAGGCAGACGGAAUGCCUUGUGUAGCGGUGAAAUGCGUAGAUAUAAGGAGGAACACCAGUGGCGAAGGCGGUCUGCUGGACAGCAACUGACGGUGAGGCGCGAAAGCGUGGGGAGCAAACAGGAUUAGAUACCCCUGUAGUC